CCGGUCCCUGUGCCCAGCUCACCUGUCUCUCCCCAGAUGGGCAGGUACUCAUCCUGCUGAAUGUCCAGCAUGAUCUCCAGCCCGUUGCCUGUCCCCCCCUUGACCGUGGUGAGCAGAGGUUUGCCAUCCUCGCCUGAGUUAAACAUGUAACACUUCCCAUAUUUUGUAAACACCUGAAGGAGAGAAGAGAGAGAGAGAGAGAAGCACAUGGGUAACUUCAGACGGGGGUCCAGAGAUUGGCGAGACCCCAGAAAUCUGACAGCAGGACCCAAGCGUUUUUUGACUGCAUCACUCUGGUUUCCUAGCUGGACUUCAGGAUUCCAGAUGACCUUCUCCAGCCCAUCCUCUAAGGUAACUGAAUUGGGGUUCAGGAAGGAGAAAUGAACUGCCCAAGGUCACACAGGAAGUGGCAAAGCCAGGACUCAAUCAAGGUCACCCAACUUCACAUUUAAGAUGAGGAACCAAAGUUCAAGGAGGUUCAACGUCUUACAGAUUUGGUGGUGCACUUGCUCUUCCCACUGCCCAGUGAAGCGCUACUCGAUCAUACUAGACACAAUGUGGUUGGUCUAUGGGAGGGAGUAUCAGGAAGCAUGAGGAGCCCACACUUCUACAAAGAGUCGAGAUGCCUUCACAAAGAUGCCUCAUGCUGCAAGGUCGUGAAUGCCAAGUGCUCUAGUGUUUCAGAGGUGGAGGAGAUCCCUACAGAUGAGGCACCAGGAAAAGCUUCAAGGUGGAGGCCGGUCUGAGUCUGGCCUCAAAGGAUGAAAUGAUUCAGAUAAACAGCAAAACAAAGCAACAGGAAGGGAGAGAUAACAACAAAGGCAGAGAUGUAGGAGUGAGCAAGGGAGACUGAAUGAGCAGUCCCUGGGACAGAAGGUGGUUUGUGAGGCUGGAAGAGGAGUUGAAACUUGUUUGUAAUUAUUGUGUGGUGUAUUUGCAUUUCUAAUUGCGCUGAGGGACACUGAAGGCCAAGCUUCCAGUCUCUGGGCUGUCUUUCACCUGCGCCGCGGUGCUGAGUUGUUGGCGGCGGCGGCAGCGUCUUUUCUCCAAGCAGCACCUGUGAGAGCAGCAGCUCCAGCUGGAGUCCCAAGACUUCCAAUCAACAUAGAGAGCCACAGGGCCUGUGCCUGCGUGGGUUUGCUGUAAGGAGCCUGUAACGCAUCGAGGAGCCCAGCGCCCAACCCCACACCUGGCAUUGGCUGGGUGCUCAAUAAAUG
rnacentral:lncRNA from 10 species